CGACCCUCCGGAGAGCCCGCACUGACACCGUGCCCCCCUCGCCGCCCUCCCCGCGCCGCUCGCCGCCCCCUCACCGCCCACGCCUGGUGGCAGUGGGGGAUGGCGUCCACCACGCGGGCCACGGGCAGCCCCCGCCGCCGCAGCUCGGGCAGCUGGUCCCGCACGAAGCAGAAAAAGGGGCUGACGGAGCCUCUGCGCCGUGACAUGGCUCCGGCCGCUCUCGCCGCGGUGGGGCAGCGCGUCCCUUCCCGAGCGGCCGCCGGGGCGGUGCCCUCACGGUUUUGGCGGCAAGGGCGGGGCCGCCAUGACCCGACAUGGCCGCAGGGGCGGCGCCCCCGCCCUGCUGCGAACCUGGGCUGUCAGAGCGGUCCUGAGUCAGGAUCGGCCUAGGCCCGUUCUCCUAGAAAGAAGACUUAAUCAAUGCGACAGAUAGCGGCCAACAAGCUCUAAGGAUCACAGAAUCACAGAAUGCUGUCUACUCUCUUAUACAGAUCUGAAUCGUGGGUCAUCUACCGCCACCACCUGCGUCUCCUAGAACGCUUCCAUCAGCGCUGCCUCCGUACAAUCCUAAACAUCCACUGGUCAGAUUAUGUGACCAAUACAUCUGUUCUAGAGCAAGCAGCAGUCACAAGUAUUGAGGCCAUGUUGCUGAGAACACAGUUGUGCUGGGCAGGGCACGUCUCCAGGAUGAAGGACCAACCACCCCCUCCCUAAGAUCUUACUUUAUGGUGAACUUGCCACCGGCUGCUGCAAGAGAGGAGCCCCAAAGAGAAGAUACAAGGACUCCCUGAAACAACAUCUCAGCCUUGGCCAUAUUGAUCAUCAUAACUGGUCUGCUCUGGCCUCCAGUCGGGAGGCCUGGACUCACACCAUCUAUAACGCUGCUGAUGCCUUUGAGAAAGCACACAGGAUCACCCUUGAGGAGAAAAGACAAUGCAGAAAGAAUCGUGCCUUGCAGAAUAUACCACCUAAGGAGUCUUUCUGCUGUGCCUUUUGCAACCGGAUAUGUCUAUCUCGUAUUGGCCUUUUUAGCCACCAGCAUGCUUGUGUCAAACGUGGGUAGAGCCCUCCCCAAAUCUUCGUUCACAAAGCCCAGCCAUGAUGAGGGGGUUGGAAAGGACCAUAAACAUCAUCCAGUUCCAACUCCCCGCCAUGGGCAGGGACACCUUCCACUAUCCCAGGUUGCUCAGAGUUCCAUCCAACCUGGCCUUGAACACUUGCAGGGAUGGGGUAUCCACGACCUCCCUGGGCAACCUGUUCCAGUGCCUCACCACCCUCACAAUAAAGAACUUCUUCCUAAUAUCUAACAUAAAUUUCCCCUCUUCGUGUCCAGUUCUGGGCCCUCACUCCAGGAAAGACAUUGAGGCGCUGGAGCGUGUCCAGAGAAGGGCAGUGGAGCUGGGGAAGGGUCUGGAGCACAAGUGUUAUGAGGAGCAGCUGAGGGAGCUGGGAGUUUUUAGGAGAAAAGGAGGCUCAGGGGUGACCUGAUCACUCUCUACAGCUCCCUGAAAGGAGGUUGUAGCCAGGUCUCUUCUCUCAGGGAAGAAGUGACAAGACAAGAGGAAAUGGCCUCAAGUUAUCUCAGGGGAGAUUUAGAUUAGAUAUUAGCAAAAAUUUCUUCACUGAAAGUGUGGUCAGGCAUUGGAACAGGCGGCCCGGGGAAGUGGUUGACUCAUGAUCCCUGGAAGUGUUCAAAAGGCAUGUGGAUGUGGCAUUUGGGGACGUGGUUUAGUGGUGAACAGGGUGGUGCUGGGUUAAUGGUUGGACUCGAUGAUCUUAGAGGCCUUUUCCAAACUAAAUGAUUCUAUGAUUCUGUAGUUCAUCUGGGCCAAAACAGACCUCCUCCUGCCUCUCACUGUAGGGCUGGGCACUGGCUGGCAGGAUGCCUGCCCUGAUAUCUGCAUGAACCCCCUUGGCUCCCAUUGUUUCAUCUCCUCCUGGAGCAGCCUGGCUCCUGCUGCUCCCUGACAGCUCUGUAAGACAAGAUGAUCACGGUGAUGUGCCUUUUCUGGUGCUUCCAGUAGCAUUCAAAAUGCUGCCAGGACAUGGGGGCCUGGGUGAGAAUAGGGGCCAACAAAUCAUGGGGGUAGUAGCCCAGGACAUACAGGAAGGAGUGGAGGAAGAAGUGGAGACCAACUUCAGGUGAGAACCCUGGGUUUGGUUUUCAGAUAUAUGACAGAAAAGUGGAGGAUGUGAGAGGGCAUGCGUGUGCUUGGAAAGGCAAACUUGCUUAUUAAAAAUAAUUUGGGAGUUCAUGUUAUACAAAACUGAGGCUGCUGCUCAGAUUGUCUUUUUGUGGGUUUGGGUUGUUUUUUGGUUUGUUUUUUUUGUGGUUGUUGGUUUUUUUUCCUGCCAUCUAUUUCAUUGACAUAACUGACACUUCCUUCACUGAAAGUUUGCACAGUUCAGAUAAAAUAAAGUUUGGAAAUAAUCUGAUCUGUAUCAUCUUGAUGAGUAGCACAGAUUUGCUUCUGACCUCAAGCUUUCUAUUGAUCUCUCUCAAAGCCCAAAUGAUCUUCACUGGCCUGGUUUUCCUUGUCCAAGGCAUGUGAUGUCUCCCACAUUCCUCACUGUUCCCAUGUCUUUUGGGGGAUCUCCUUCAGCAUGUAGUUGCAGUUCCUGCAGAGCACAAGUAGUGCAGCAGAACAAGAGCCAUCAUGCUGCUUCUUGUGCAGCCAUCUUCAGUGGAGUUGUCUGGACAAUCUCGAUAAAAAUAAACGGUGUAGCCCUGACUUGAAAGAUUCUUUGCAAUUCUCUAUCUGACAGUCCUGUUAAAUCUGCUCUAAACUUAGACAUGAGGAUAAAAACAGCGAUGAAACACCUCCAUGCAUUUCCAAAUCGCUGGAAAACAUUGCUUCUUUUCCUCAGUCUCGCUACUUUUUUCAUCCUCUGGUUAGGUAAUGUAAGGCUGUUCAGCUCCAAAGGAGGUAGCUCUUGUUUAGGUUUAAAUAUUUGGCUUAGCUGAUUAUGUUUGUCAGUGGUGGAACUGCUGUCAGGUAAGGUCAGAUUAAAUUGCUCCUGCAUCUCCCUGGUGUCUGGUUUCUCAGAGGGUUAAAAAAUGCUGGCACAGUUUAAUCUUCUGGAGGCUCAAAUCUAGUGAAAACAGUUUGGUUUAUGUUUGUGAACCGCUUGCUAAAUUUGCUCUUAAACAUACAGAAGGAGUCAGUCACAUAGCUAGAAACGUAUAAAAUUGUGAUGUAACCUCGAUGAAAACAGGUAAGCAUUUUUAGAGUUACUUUUACUGCUGUGGAAAUAAUUUAUAUUCAUGUCUAGUUCUGGCUACAUUAAAUGGUAAAGCUCUGAGGAGAGACUGCAAGAAAUGACUUGUAUCUUGUAAAUAUAAACAUCUGCACAGAGUCUAUUUUUUUUCAGGCGGAAAGGCAAGUAUUUACUGUUAUAUUACUGUAAGAGUUGUUGCUAGGAGUGCAUCUGUGCACUUGUGUUUUCUUUUUCUUUGCAUCAUUUUCUUUUCUCUCGUGUGCAGCUUUGGGACCCACCCUUUAGCAGCCCUUCCUUUUAAAGAAAUUCAGAUAAUGGGUUCAUCAACUGUUUGAAAAACACAAGGCUCCAGUAAUAGCUCUCCUAGGGCUAGAGGUGUGGUUGGAAAAUAAAAUUCAUAAGCAGCAGAGAGAGAAAGGAUUUUCCUAUGUGGGUUGUGGGGACAGAGAAAAGAACAGGGAACAGAUCAUCUCCAGAGCACCAUGUCAUCAGUAUUCUCCCCCAGAGCCCUGAGGAGAGCCCAGUGCCUCUGAUGAAACUCAUGUUUUAACUCUUCAGUUGUCUGCUGUUUAACUUAGCUGGCAAAGGAGCUCUGUGGACCAUUUACACUGAUUUGUAAAUAACUAAUUUGUAGCACUGAGGCCAUUCCAGCAGAUGACAGCAAGUGUUGUGCCAGUAUUUAUAUAUUGCUUUUUUUUUUUUUUUUGGCACUUAAUUCAAUUAAGUAAUGUGCCAACACUUCAGGUCCUAGGUACCUGGCCUUGGAAACACAGCUCCAGAAUUUACAAAAUCACUGUAAAUGGUCCAGAGAACUCAUUUGCCAGCCUGUGCUUUUCCAUCAGUGCAUGGAGUUUGCCACAGGUAUCUCAAAAUAGGGUCUGUGUACCCUAGUACUUUGUUGGCAGAAGAACUAUCUGGAGCUUUUCUGCCAGUAAUGUAUAUUCAUUCAUUCAGGAUUCACGGCUAUAAUCUUUCCAAGGUAUGUCUUGCAGUUGUUUGUCAGAAAGAAUGAGCAAAGUUAUUCCAAAAAAACACUGCAGUGACCACAUCUGUUCUUACCCACUUGCCUGCUGGUCUGGGGCCAUGUCACCCUCCCACAGAGUGAAAUAUUUGGUGUUUAUGUUAGAGGAGUCAGGCCAGAUCCAUCAGCCCAAGAGAGGCGAGGCGAGUGCAACUCCACCCUCCCAGGUCCAACCAAAGGGAGGUCAAGUAUGUAAUCCCAGCCUAACCCAGCUCCUCCUGUUGUUUUGCCAUUAGGGAUGAACCAUCCACUCCCCUCUCCCUGGCCCUCAGGGCACACCACCCUCUCACCUAGUACAGCUGAUGACAUUUAAGUCAGGACCUCCUCCUGUCUCUCCAGCCACUGUCACCCAGGCACGUGGACUCUCCAAGCCAUGGCUUGACUAGAGGCUGGCACAGACGCCCCCACACAUGCAUACAUGCAAAAUAGGGAGUCCUUCUCUCAGAAAAAAAGUUAUAAAGGAAUUCAAUAAGAAGAAGGGAAUGGGCUGUGCAUGACAGAUAAGCACAUUGCCCAGCAAACUCUUCACACACACAACUAGGUCUUUCUAUCCCCUUAUCCAUUUCUUUCUGUUACUUGUUCCUUCCCAAAUCAUCUACAUCUCUCUUUCUUUGCCUUUGAUUCCUCCCCUAAGCAUCCCAUAAGAAGCCCUAUGCUAUUCUGAAAUGCUCUUCCCUUGCAUCCUGUAACAAGUCCUAUAUCCGUAUGCUGCAACCUAAAGUUGCUGUGCUGUUGACUCAUCUUGAUAGGCUUCAAGUCUGCAUCCUGGAGCUGAGGCUUCCCUGGGACAGCCCUGGGAGGGGCUUGGACAGGUUUUCCUUUAUUCUGAGUUCCUAUCUGAGCGUUCUUUCUCGUCCGCCAUUGUGUCCCUGUGGCCUUUGGACUUGUGGAAAUGGGCUGUUGAUGGGCUUUUGAGACAGGUGUGGGAGGAGCCAAGGCAGGGUGUUUGCUGGGCUACCCCCAUGGCAUUGUCUCUCUGCACUCCUUUCUGUGUGUGAAGACAAGUUUUUGUCACAGCUGAUGUCUUUCUCAGCCUGGUUAUGGAGGUUUUAAAUCUACAGAAGAAUUUGUAGGUUUAAAAGAAUUUGUCUCUUUGGAGAGUGAAACAAAGUGGAAACUUUGCCUCUCUGAUCCAGUAACUAUAUUGUUUCAUAUGUAAUGCAUAGACAUUUCAGGGAUCAGAAUCUGCAGGUUUCCCCUUCCCCAGGUGAAUGAUUUAACCAGUAUGCUGCAGCUGCCAGCUUUCUCUUAGUCCCACUCCCUUUGACCUAGUGAAUCUUUGAAUCUUGGGUUUCUUUUUUUUAACAGUGCCACAACUGCAAAAGGACUUCAGGGUGCCUUACACCUCAGCUAUGUGCUUAAGGAUGUAACUUAGAUCAACUAGGAGUCAGGAGGCCUUCUCACAAAAGGUAAGCCAUAUCACCCUGUCUUUGCAGGGCUUUGCUGAGUGUUAGACCCACUGUGAAUGUCCUGGACCAGGCCUCAGACAUGGUAUCAGCAUCUUUUCUCCAGGUUUCGCAGGGAACUCUAGUGAGAGCUGAUAUGCUUCUGUCUGCUCUCCAGAAACAGAAGGAUUUGUGCUGGGAGCUGCAGUGCAGCAGGUCAUGGAGUUGUGGGAUGCAUGGGACUUGCUGGGUGAGUGCUGUGACCCUGCUGAGCACCACCUUCCAGAACCACUGAAGCUGAUACAAGCCACAGGGUAACCAGCUGCCCAGGUGUGGUACAGCUGCAUCCCCUCCAUGCCAUAAAUUUCAAAUAUCCUUAAAGCCAUGCCUCCAGGGAAACCAUCACAUUGUUCCAGUAUCCUGGACAAAUACUGGGAAAUCCUUAAUAUCUGAUAAGAGAAGGAACUGGCUUCGACAACCCAAAUAUAUGUAAGCCUUGGCUUGAGUGUUUGUUAGACAUCUGUGUGCUCAGUACUAUCUGGGUAUGCAGAGAAGGAGAACUGUAAGCGUGUACUUUGACAGUACAUGUGUGCUUUCAUUCUCAAACUGCUUCUCAGUGAGGGUUUUUUUAGAUUGCAGUUCUAAAUGUUAGGUACCAAAAUUUUUCCAAAGUCUUGUUUUAGAUCUGGCCCCAAGUAGGAUGCCCUGAGUAAUUACAGACCUGUCAGAGUGACAGGGAUCCCAGGCAAAAGAAUGGAACCGCUGACACAGGAGUUGCUUCAAUAAUGAAUUAAAGAAAAGUAACGUAAUUAAUGCCAAUCAACGUGGGUUUGCAGCAAAUAGAUUCUGUCACAUUGGUCUGUAAUUGCAUCAAAAAGAUACUAAGUGUGGUUACUAAAGGUAAUGCAUUCAGACACGUGAGGCAUGUGACUUGACCACACAACAUUGAAUCAAGGAUACAGAUUUAUGAUACAGAGACCAUCCAGUCUCCAGAUAAUGCAUUAGCUUAGGAUGUCUCAAAAUGUAAUUUUAAAUGAGGAAUUGCAAUCACACUUUUUCACGAGAUCUUUCUUAGGUCAUUUCUUGGCUGCAUACUACUAAAUGUUUGUUGGUACCUUUGAAGGAAACAUACAGUCAUCACAGUUACUUGCAAAUAAUACAAAGACUGAGGGAAUAGUGAAUAACGUAGGUGAUACAGUGGGAUCCCCACCAAAGAGGAGAUCCCUGUGUGAUGCUGUGUCAAGAGGACUAACAAACAGCAUGAUCCUUGGAAGGAGAAACAAAGAAAUAUUAAGCAGGGAUGAUGAUGCUGUAGUACUUCUGCUUUCAUCCUUUUAGCAACUGAGCCUGAGAUGGUCUCUCUAUUUCUGGUGUUAGCUCAAGAAUAUAGCAAAAUAACAGUCUGUUGAACUUCCAGAGAGGAUGUUAAGAGUGCUUUGAUCAUAGUCUGUCAUUACCUCUGUUCAGAAAUUGCCUUAAGAGUGCCCUGUCUUUGAGCUUGGCAGUACUAGAAGGUGAAGUUAGAUAAAAUUAGGGGCAGGGUGAGGUCCCUUCCAUCCAAAAGUAAUCUGUGAUUCUUUUUGUAACAAAACAGGGUGCAGUUCAAACUACAUGGAUGUAGCGUGGCAAAGUGAUGUGGCCUGUUUUAUUAAAAAAGCUGGAUUAGAGAGUCACAGCAGUCUGGGUUAUGAACUCCAGGUCCCUGAAGGUAUUUUUGCUGCCCACGGUUUCUCUACAGCCAAAACCUUAGAGGGUUUAACAACUUGUUAUCUCCUUGGUUAUCUGUAGAUUCGCAAGCAGAGUUUUCUUAUUCCUAUACUGUGUAUUUUUGCUUAUAGUGACACACAGGAUUGUGAGCUGGGAUGAUUCACUUGUGAUCGUGGUGUGCCUAUAUAACAACUUCACAAAACAUUAUUGCUGACAUGUCCUUAGUGUUUGACUUAAAUGAAAAUUUCAGGUUCGCCCUGAAGUGUAGGAAAGUUAUGCUGUGAUUUUUGGUAUCUAAAAAAAAAGGAUCAGGAGCAACACAGGAAAUUUAGACAGAGAAGUAAAUACUAUAGAAAGAUGCUGUUCUCCUGGUUUCUUUCUAAUGCUGAAUUUGUAUUACAGAACUGAAGGCUCAUUGCAAUGAGAAAGUCAAAUUUCUCCAUUAAAUAUUCUAAACACUUCUUGGUACAAACACCAUGGUUAAAAACAAAAGCAGUUUGUAUAUCCAUAUCCCUCACUCCUGACGUUAACGGGAAGUAAAAGCUCUGUAUUACUGUGCUAUCAAAUGUGGCAAGGCAGCUCGAAAAAAACCCCAACAUAUCCUGAGUGCAUAUAUUUCAGUGAUGUCUUGCUGUGAAGCUAUCAACGAUUAAAAAGAGAUUCCAGUGUGACAAAGCAAACGAGGAAAAGUUUUAGUUAGUAGCUAUGCUGAAGAGACUCACUAAAUGCUGUGAAUUGAUGGUGUGUCACCUAAUAACUUCUGUAGUGUGCUGGUCUCAGUACUGAAUCAAGAAAAGCAGUGUCUACUGGCUGAAUGUAGUAUGACAUCCCAGAAAGCUGCUGAAAUCGCUGUUUCUAUGGAAAUUUCUACAGGGGAAAUCCAGGGGGCUGAAUGGCAAGAAAAUCUUCAUGCAGCACAGUGGGUUUUCAGGGAUGUUUCCGAGAUGGGUCAUUCUGAGUGAGGUGCUGGUGUAAAUCAUUCCACGUGCUGGUAAUUUAAAAAGCUGACUCUACUUAUCAACAGAGGAAAUGACCACAAAAGACUGGUACUGGAAGAUGAAAGGAGGGAGGGAGGAAUGAAGUACUUGGCAAGGAGAGAAAAAAGCCAGCAGCUCCUACAGCAUGAAUAAAAAAGAGUCUUAAUUCAGCCCAUACAGACCUUCAUGGAUCGUAUCCUACAGAUAUAUAACAAUGGCGAGGCAGGCCCUCAGCUGAUGCAGAGUAUCCACCUGAGUUUUCUGGAUCCACAGGUAUUUCUGGAGGCUGAAGUGGCCCGAGUGAGAGUUUCUACUUUGUCUUCCACCUGCAAGUAUGGACAAAGGCAGUGGGGUGUCAAAUUUUUGUGUGCUAAAGGAGAACACCACUGUGGGCUGUUGCAUAUAUACAUCAUUUAGUGUUAACAGAGGCUUACUUCUUAAUAGUGACUUUUAGCUAGUACUGCAAAACAGUUAAAUUCAUAAGGUAUCAGGUCAGAGGAACAUCAGAACAGUGAUUAGGGUGGGUGUGUAUUUUUUUUUUAAUGCAAUGUUGAAUAAAAAUAAGCUUCCAUGUGAAAAAUAUUUUUCAAUAACAUUGAAUAGCUCUGAAUAAAACACUUAAAAACA